rnacentral:rRNA from 1 species
CCUACGGGAGGCUGCAGUGAGGAAUAUUGGUCAAUGGACGAGAGUCUGAACCAGCCAAGUAGCGUGAAGGAUGACUGCCCUAUGGGUUGUAAACUUCUUUUAUAUGGGAAUAAAAUGUUCCACGUGUGGGAUUUUGUAUGUACCAUAUGAAUAAGGCUCGGCUAACUCCGUGCCAGCAGCCGCGGUAAUACGGAGGAUCCGAGCGUUAUCCGGAUUUAUUGGGUUUAAAGGGAGCGUAGGUGGAUUGUUAAGUCAGUUGUGAAAGUUUGCGGCUCAACCGUAAAAUUGCAGUUGAAACUGGCAGUCUUGAGUACAGUAGAGGUGGGCGGAAUUCGUGGUGUAGCGGUGAAAUGCUUAGAUAUCACGAAGAACUCCGAUUGCGAAGGCAGUUCACUGGACUGCAACUGACACUGAGGCUCGAAAGUGUGGGUAUCAAACAGGAUUAGAUACCCUUGUAGUC